ensembl:lncRNA
AUUGAUCAUUGAGCUUUAUCUCCUGAGCGAUUCUUGAGGUUUGUUUGCAUUUUUUGGUUGUAGUACAUUUAAAGGUGCACUAUGCAGGAAUAAGAAAAUGUGAAAUCUUGUAAAUCAGAGACGUUGUAGUUUAUGGGCUUGACAGAUUAUAACAAGUUAUGUCUGACAUUUUAUUUUUCUUUUCAAAUUACAGCAUUACGAGCACUACUGACUCUCCACUGCAGAAUAUCCAACCAUCUAUUCAGGGCACAACCUGCAUUUUUCACUACAGCUGAACGCCUGGUUUUGGAUUUUCUCCAAGUGGCAGUUCUUCUGUAUUGUUCUUCUCACUCCUCCCCAAGCCCCCACCCCCACCCCCACCCCCUCCCCAAAUCCCCCCAAAAAAAAAAAAAAAAAAAAAAUCAUUUUAAUACUAAGUUGAUAAUUUGUGUUCUAAUACUGCUGUUCUUUUAAAAGUUCAGUCCUUUUAAUACUAGGUUAAUAAUUUGUUUAAUCUGGUAUUGUUCUUUUCUUUGGAAAAAAAGUUUGUAAUAUUAGACUCAUAAUUUGUUUUAUUUGUUACUGUUCUUUUUAUUGAAAAAAAAGUUUAUUAGCUGUCUUUGUAAGUCGUUCUUUUUCUUGUCAAUUAACUAACUUGUUUUUUUCUUGAGAAUACUUUGCAGGUUGUAUCGCUUCAGCAUUUUGUGAAGUAAGUGACUGAAAAUAUCCUGAAAAAAAAAAUGCUUAUUGAAUACAAUACUUUUUGACUAGCAUUAAAACCAUUUUACAGUCAUUUUUAAUCAGAGAUGUUCAAACUCAUGAAGAAAGGUGACAGUUGUUUGCUAAACAUUUUAAGACAGUUUGCUUAUUUAAGAGACGAUGUGAAAUCAUCUGCUUGUUAGAUUAUUAUGGAACAGAUGAUUAGGACGUUAAACUUGAAUCAUUUAAUCCCAUUUAGCUACAAAAAAGGUUGCGUAAUAUGAUCAUAAAAUUGCAAAAGGCUGUAAUUUAACUAAAUUAACUUAUUCUAAUGUGGAGUAUGUUUAAAAAUUAAGCACUUCUUUGUUUACAUGCAGCAUGUGAUGGUGUUUUCAGAGCAUCUCUACAGAGAAAGCAUCACAUUUACACAAUUUCCUUUUCUGUACAUGCUUGUGGAGUUGUAGAAUUCCCAACUCUUUGACUAAGUUAUUUAUUUCUAAUUAAUGGGCUAGUCAGAUAU